ensembl:rRNA 5S_rRNA 5S ribosomal RNA
GCCGGUUCCUACCGGGAUGGGAGACCGCCCGGGAAUACCGGGU